UCACCCAAAAUGUCACACUACUAAAUGGUAAAGAAAGACAGUCACCCAAGAAAGUUUAGGAAAAGUUGCUAGGUGGGCAAAGGUAACCUUGAAAAUGCGAGCUGCACCAACAGGAUUGUCCUCCGUCAUACAUUGGCGAAUUGGGGGGCUGAAAUCCAUGAGCCUAAACUAUAGCCCUCGCCUUUGGCAUGGUUGCAUACAAAUAUUGUGGUGAUAAGGUCCAACUCAAUUUUCUAUUUUCCCAAUCACGUGCACACAAAAACCAAGCUGGCUCUAGUUAUUUAAUGACACACAGUGAGUGGAGUUCAAGAGAGGGCUACAGUUUGGCUCAUGGAUUUUAGCAAACCAUUUCUCCAUGUUUGUCAGACGACAAUACUGUUGGACCAACUUGCAUUUUCGGGAUCACCUUUGUCCGGCAAGCAACCUUUUCUGAAACUUGCUUAGGUGAUUUUCUUCUUCCCUGUAUGUAGUGGAACAUUUUUGCUGA